CAGUCGCCGCGGGAAUACAGAGGGUGCGAGCGUUAAUCGGAUUUACUGGGCGUAAAGCGUGCGUAGGCGGCUUUUUAAGUCGGAUGUGAAAUCCCUGAGCUUAACUUAGGAAUUGCAUUCGAUACUGGGAAGCUAGAGUAUGGGAGAGGUUGGUAGAAUUCCAGGUGUAGCGGUGAAAUGCGUAGAGAUCUGGAGGAAUACAGAUGGCGAAGGCAGCCAUCUGGCCUAAUACUGACGCUGAGGUACGAAAGCAUGGGGAGCAAACAGGAUUAGAUACCCCAGUAGUCCCUGUCUCUUAUAC
rnacentral:rRNA from 1 species